AUUGAACGCUGGCGGCAGGCCUAACACAUGCAAGUCGAGCGGAUGAAGGGAGCUUGCUCUCUGAUUCAGCGGCGGACGGGUGAGUAAUGCCUAGGAAUCUGCCUGGUAGUGGGGGACAACGUUUCGAAAGGAACGCUAAUACCGCAUACGUCCUACGGGAGAAAGUGGGGGAUCUUCGGACCUCACGCUAUCAGAUGAGCCUAGGUACGAUUAGCUAGUUGGUGAGGUAAAGGCUCACCAAGGCGACGAUCGUUAACUGGUCUGAGAGGAUGAUCAGUCACACUGGAACUGAGACACGGUCCAGACUCCUACGGGAGGCAGCAGUGGGGAAUAUUGGACAAUGGGCGAAAGCCUGAUCCAGCCAUGCCGCGUGUGUGAAGAAGGUCUUCGGAUUGUAAAGCACUUUAAGUUGGGAGGAAGGGCAGUAAGUUAAUACCUUGCUGUUUUGACGUUACCGACAGAAUAAGCACCGGCUAACUUCGUGCCAGCAGCCGCGGUAA
rnacentral:rRNA from 1 species